GAUUGUGAUUAGUUUGUAGGUGGGGACGUGUUGCUAUUUAGUGAAAAAUUGACAGCCUUGGCAUUUUCAGACUAUUUGUUUUGCAUCGGCCAACGCCAUGGACCAGUAGAAGCCCGCUCGGAAAGCUUUGCCUACGCUUGUUCGUGAAGAUGCGUGGUUGCCACAGAUCCCUUUGUGAAUUUAUUCCGAGAUUUCUUGGCCAUCUUCUCGGGUGACACAUUGCAUGAGAAUUCCUGAUGAUGCGCUUUUCCUGUAGAGCUUGUCUCCAACUAGGAUGUAAUUUUU
rnacentral:lncRNA from 1 species